UACUGGGCAGGGGCAGGUCAUAUUUGGGCUUCCUCUUGCGGGGGUUGGGUUUUAGAGCACGUUGUGGCUGACUGGCUGGCCCUGAAGAAGAUCAACAUGAAGGGCUGUUUGGAGAGGGGGCCCCUUCGACCCACCGAUCCUACCCACCCAGCUGACAAGGACCGGUCUGAUGGAGAGAAAACAGUGUGUGUGCGCGUGUAUGUGGGAUAUAAUCGUGAGAUAUGCAGGUGACAUUUCCACGUGGAUGACAGCACAUAAUCAACAAGACGGAGAUGCUCUUCAUCAGAGGGAAUGCCUGCCCGUUCACAGAUGUUAGAUAAUCCGAGAUGAUCACAUUUACAUUCCAGCCCUUGUCAACUCCAGAAUUGACUACUUCAACUCACACCCUGCUGGAAUCCCUGCAUUCUCAGAUUCCCCUGUUAUUAAUCUCUAUAUUGUAAUCAAUAAAGUGUUUUAAAAUGCU